UACUUUAUUCCUGCAAACGUGAGCUUGGGGACUGGCUUAGCAAGAUCAAUGUUCUCAGAGAUCAUAAAUGGAAUAAUUAAAAGUAACCUUCAACUUGGUUAUUAACUGGUGUCAGAGGACAGAGUGACCUGUAGAAUCUGGGAGAAAAAACUGUGGGGAGAGUCCUUUUCAGUCUGCACAGGUCUGGUAUGCCACAUUCUCAGUUUAACUAGGUUUUUCAGAGACGUGUGUAGCUACGCUAUCGAGCAUGUAUGAAAUGAAACACCUGACACAGAAAAAUCCAGCUCAAAUGAUUGAAAUUUUACAAAGUUGCAAGGAACUGAAAAAAGGAGUAUUAGCACUGCCUGUCAUAAAUAACAUGACCUUGGGAGUUUGGAGGCUGACUUUUAGGCCACUGCUUCAUCUGGUUUUUUUGCCUUCAGAAGACAUUGUCAAAAAUCCUGGGUGGUGGCACUGAUUGCUUUUGAUUUAUCCAAGAUUUCUUCUGGAGUAAGUGAGUGAAGUACUUGGUAUUCUUUCUCAGAUCCUGCCUCCUGUCUCCUGGGUUUGGUGAUCUAUAGACUUUACCAGAUGGUGAAUAAUCUUCAUAAGUUCCACUAUUGGGUCUAUCCUGCCUUGAGGGAAGUGAGACCUUUUCUGAUAAGGAACCGUUGCUCACUUCUCAUCACUCACCCCAGAAGCUUGAUGGAUUUUAACUGAAUAGGAGUUCAUUAGCUGUGAACAUACACCAAGAGGAUGGAAUUUUUGACUGCUACCAUUCUGAAAUUACAUUUAGGUCUGCAAUUGUCUUAUUAAAAUUAAGUGGGAAAAUAAAAGUACACAGGCAACUGCACAUAUAAACCCAAGAUACUGGGUCAUAAAAAGAUGACAUACUUACCAUCAUUUUAACACAGUGUGAAACAAGCAGCGGAUAUUGGUCUCAGUGAACAAAGCUCCAUCCUUUUCUUAGCAUCUGGACCUGUAGAUUUCUAAAGCAACAAUGCCAUAAUAAAGACAAAGGUGCUUGCCA